AUUGCCUGAUAGCUUCUUGGGACAUAAUACAUUGGAGAAUUUGGUAGACGUGGCACUACUUUACUUCCAAGAUGUGUCAGAGGGCCAAGCAGCUUCCACCUGUUUCUCUUGGGAUGAUCGCUCUGGAGGAAGACAGCUGCCGUGCUGGAGAGACUAUUGGAGACACUCCAUGCUAGCCCAGCUCCCAGCCGACAGCCGGCACCAGCUGCCAGCCUGUGAGGCAGCCAUCGUGGACAGUCAGCCUGAUCGUCUCACAGGACUGAAGCCCCAGCUGACAACUGAAUUCAACCAAGCUAAAGACCCCAAGCAAGAACUGCUCAUUUGAGAUCUUCUCCAAGUUCUGACCCACAAAAUCACAAGUAAAUUAAAUUGGUGGUUUUAAGCUGCUAAUAUUAGGGAUAAUUCGUUAUGUAGAAAUAGUAACCCAAACAUUGAUCGAGAACAAAAAGAGAAAAUAUCAAUUUUCAAUAUCAGCAUUGAAGGAGAGGACCCACUACAGAUAUUACAUGCCUUAAAAAGGAAAAUAAAGCAACAUUAAGAACAACUUCAUGGGGCCGGCCUGGUGGCACAGCCAUUAAGUGCACAUGAUCCACUUGGGUGGCCUGAGGUUCGCCAGUUCGGAUCCCAGGUGUGGACACAGCACCACUCAGCAAGCCAUGCUGUAGCAGGCGUCCCCCAUAUAAAGUAGAGGAAGAUGGGCAUGGAUGUUA
rnacentral:lncRNA from 1 species